rnacentral:rRNA from 1 species
UACGAAGGGGGCUAGCGUUGCUCGGAAUCACUGGGCGUAAAGCGCACGUAGGCGGAUUGCUAAGUCAGGGGUGAAAUCCUGGAGCUCAACUCCAGAACUGCCCUUGAUACUGGCGGUCUCGAGUCCGGGAGAGGUGAGUGGAACUGCGAGUGUAGAGGUGAGAUUCGUAGAUAUUCGCAAGAACACCAGUGGCGAAGGCGGCUCACUGGCCCGGUACUGACGCUGAGGUGCGAAAGCGUGGGGAGCAAACAGG